UACGGAGGGUGCAAGCGUUAUCCGGAUUUACUGGGUUUAAAGGGUGUGUAGGCGGGCUUUUAAGUCAGUGGUGAAAUCUCCGGGCUCAACCCGGAAACUGCCAUUGAUACUAUUAGUCUUGAAUUCUGUUGAGGUAGGCGGAAUAAGUCAUGUAGCGGUGAAAUGCUCAGAUAUGACUUAGAACACCAAUUGCGAAGGCAGCUUGCUAAACAGAUAUUGACGCUGAGGCACGAAAGCGUGGGGAUCAAACAGG
rnacentral:rRNA from 1 species